rnacentral:rRNA from 1 species
GAUGAACGCUGGCGGCGUGCUUAACACAUGCAAGUCGAACGGUGAAGGCGGAGCUUGCUCUGCUGGAUCAGUGGCGAACGGGUGAGUAACACGUGAGCAAUCUGCCCCUGACUCUGGGAUAAGCGCUGGAAACGGCGUCUAAUACUGGAUACGAGCUGCGAAGGCAUCUUCAGCAGCUGGAAAGAAUUUCGGUCAGGGAUGAGCUCGCGGCCUAUCAGCUUGUUGGUGAGGUAAUGGCUCACCAAGGCGUCGACGGGUAGCCGGCCUGAGAGGGUGACCGGCCACACUGGGCCUGAGACACGGCCCAGACUCCAACGGGAGGCAGCAGUGGGGAAUAUUGCACUAUGGGCGGAGGCCUGAUGCAGUAACGCCGCGUGGGGGACGACGGCCUGCGGGUUGUAAACCUCAUUUAGCAGGGAAGAAGCGAUAGUGACGGUACCUGCAGAAAAAGCGCCGGCUAACUACGUG